GAUGAACGCUGGCGGCAUGCCUAAUACAUGCAAGUCGAACGAGAGGAAGGAAAGCUUGCUUUUCUGAAUCUAGUGGCGAACGGGUGAGUAACACGUAGGUAACCUGCCCAUGUGCCCGGGAUAACUUCUGGAAACGGAUGCUAAAACCGGAUAGGUAGCAGACAAGCAUUUGACUGCUAUUAAAGUGGCUAAGGCCAUGAACAUGGAUGGACCUGCGGUGCAUUAGCUAGUUGGUGAGGUAACGGCCCACCAAGGCGACGAUGCAUAGCCGGCCUGAGAGGGCGGAGGGCCACAUUGGGACUGAGACACGGCCCAAACUCCUACGGGAGGCAGCAGUAGGGAAUUUUCGUCAAUGGGGGGAACCCUGAACGAGCAAUGCCGCGUGAGUGAGGAAGGUCUUCGGAUCGUAAAGCUCUGUUGUAAGAGAAAAACGACAUUCAUAGGGAAUGAUGAGUGGGUGAUGGUAUCUUACCAGAAAGUCACGGCUAACUACGUGCCAGCAGCCGCCGUAA
rnacentral:rRNA from 1 species